rnacentral:rRNA from 1 species
CAAUAGCGUAUAUUUAAGUUGUUGCAGUUAAAAAGCUCGUAGUUGGAUUUCGGAUGGGAUUUGCCGGUCCGUCGUUACGAUGUGCACUGGCCAGUCCUAUCUUGUUGUCGGGGACUAGCUCCUUGGAUUCACUUCCUGGGACUAGGAGCUGACGAGGUUACUUUGAGUAAAUUAGAGUGUUCAAAGCAAGCCUACGCUCUGAAUACAUUAGCAUGGAAUAACACGAUAGGACUCUGGCUUAUCUUGUUGGUCUGUGAGACCAGAGUAAUGAUUAAGAGGGACAGUCGGGGACAUUCGUAUUUCAUUGUCAGAGGUGAAAUUCUUGGAUUUAUGAAAGACGAACUUCUGCGAAAGCGUUUGUCAAGGAUGUUUUCAUUAA